UACGUAGGGGGCAAGCGUUGUCCGGAAUCAUUGGGCGUAAAGCGCUCGUAGGCGGCCCGGUAAGUCCGCUGUAAAAGUCCAGGGCUCAACCCUGGAAAGCCGGUGGAUACUGUCGGGCUAGAGUCCGGAAGAGGCGAGUGGAAUUCCUGGUGUAGCGGUGGAAUGCGCAGAUAUCAGGAGGAACACCGGUGGCGAAGGCGGGUCUCUGGGCCGAUACUGACGCUGAGGAGCGAAAGCGUGGGGAGCGAACAGG
rnacentral:rRNA from 1 species